GUAUGCGCGGUGAUGAAGCAAUAGUGUGGACUAGAGUUUCUGAUCUUGCAUUUGAAGACAAACCCUUGGCUGUCUGAGCGCUCAA
rnacentral:snoRNA from 1 species